AGACCCGAAACCCGGUGAUCUAGCCAUGGGCAGGUUGAAGGUUGGGUAACACUAACUGGAGGACCGAACCGACUAAUGUUGAAAAAUUAGCGGAUGACCUGUGGCUGGGGGUGAAAGGCCAAUCAAACCGGGAGAUAGCUGGUUCUCCCCGAAAGCUAUUUAGGUAGCGCCUCGUGAAUUCAUCUCCGGGGGUAGAGCACUGUUUCGGCUAGGGGGCCAUCCCGGCUUACCAACCCGAUGCAAACUGCGAAUACCGGAGAAUGUUAUCACGGGAGACACACGGCGGGUGCUAACGUCCGUCGUGAAGAGGGAAACAACCCAGACCGCCAGCUAAGGUCCCAAAGUCAUGGUUAAGUGGGAAACGAUGUGGGAAGGCCCAGACAGCCAGGAUGUUGGCUUAGAAGCAGCCAUCAUUUAAAGAAAGCGUAAUAGCUCACUGGUCGAGUCGGCCUGCGCGGAAGAUGUAACGGGGCUAAACCAUGCACCGAAGCUGCGGCAGCGAACGUAUCACUUAAAGCGAUUCAGCGGGUUACGAUUGACGGAGCGAAGCGACGUCAAAGCGUAUACAAAGUCGAGUCGGUUUAAGGAUACGUUCGUUGGGUAGGGGAGCGUUCUGUAAGCCUGUGAAGGUGGCCUGUGAGGGUUGCUGGAGGUAUCAGAAGUGCGAAUGCUGACAUAAGUAAC
rnacentral:rRNA from 1 species